UGGGGAAUAUUGGACAAUGGGGGCAACCCUGAUCCAGCCAUGCCGCGUGAGUGAUGAAGGCCUUCGGGUUGUAAAGCUCUUUUGGCGGGGACGAUGAUGACGGUACCCGCAGAAUAAGCCCCGGCUAACUUCG
rnacentral:rRNA from 1 species